UUAGUCCUGACACUAGGGAAAAGUGAGCAUGCAGCAAAGUGAGGAGCUCCCUUUUGUUUCGCUGCAGGAAUGGAUAUACAGGUAUAAACUAUAUGGAUAUGCAGGUAUAAAUGGAUUUACAGGUGUAAACUGACUGAGGAACCAUCCCUGCAAACUGCAGCAUCACAGCAGUGUAAACCAAACUGAACCGGUGCUACAGUGGUCCUGCUUCUCUCAAAUCCCAUUUUCAGGAAUUCUGCACUUCUGUUCUGUGUGCUGCUAUCUGACUUUGCAAAGAGCUGGCUCAGGGGGUUCAUCUGGCAGAAGAAGAGAUCUCCAUCCACAGGCAUAGCAGAAAGCAGGGCCACAAGCAGCCUUCUAUUGAUUUUAGUGUGGUGUGGCAAAGUCAGGAUCCCACGCUUGGCUGGUCUCUAGGCAUUACAAUAAUGAAGAUGGUUUAAAAGGUUGCUAUUAAAAGAUUAUUAUGGUUUAAAGCAGGAAUGUAUAUAUGGUACUUCAAGCUCAUUGUACUUUUACAAAAAGAUUAUGAACUCCUCAUUAUGUUUUCACAAUGAAUUUCCCUGUGCACAUGUAAAGAACCAUCAUUUUGGAUGGGGCUGAAUGCUUCUUCUCCUGUGUGUGCAAUGGCAUGUCCUUGAAAAAACACGAGAAAAUAACUGUCUCCCUGUAAAAUCAGAGGUUUCAGCUACUGCAUUUCAUCCUGUUACUACCUG